rnacentral:tRNA from 1 species
AGCGCCGUAGCUCAGUUGGCAGAGCAGUUCCCUUAUAAGGUUCAGGUCGCGGGUUCGAGUCCCGUCGGCGCCA